GUAGGUGAACCUGCGGAAGGAUCAUUAACACAAUACAUUUUCACAAAUGUAUUUUAACCCCCCUUUGCAAACUUGUUUUUAUAAUGUUCUCCCGGAUUGAUGUAUUCACGUACAUAUGAUCUGUGGUUUUCAAACCUUUUUAAACCCCUUGAACUGUCUUUGACUGAAACUCUGAGCCUUUUUGUCAAGUAUUUUCGUCAUGGAAAUACAAACACAGAUUGUCUCUGCCAUAUAUCAAACGCUGAACAACUCUUAGCAACGGAUAUCUUGGCUCUC
rnacentral:misc_RNA from 1 species